rnacentral:rRNA from 1 species
GACGAACGCUGGCGGCGUGCUUAAUACAUGCAAGUCGAACGGAAAGGCCCUGCUUUUGUGGGGUGCUCGAGUGGCGAACGGGUGAGUAACACGUGAGUAACCUGCCCUUGACUUUGGGAUAACUUCAGGAAACUGGGGCUAAUACCGGAUAGGAGCUCCUGCUGCAUGGUGGGGGUUGGAAAGUUUCGGCGGUUGGGGAUGGACUCGCGGCUUAUCAGCUUGUUGGUGGGGUAGUGGCUUACCAAGGCUUUGACGGGUAGCCGGCCUGAGAGGGUGACCGGCCACAUUGGGACUGAGAUACGGCCCAGACUCCUACGGGAGGCAGCAGUGGGGAAUAUUGCACAAUGGGCGGAAGCCUGAUGCAGCAACGCCGCGUGCGGGAUGACGGCCUUCGGGUUGUAAACCGCUUUCGCCUGUGACGAGGCGUGAGUGACGGUAAUGGGUAAAGAAGCACCGGCUAACUACGUG